AGCGAACGCUGGCGGCAGGCCUAACACAUGCAAGUCGAACGAACCCUUCGGGGUUAGUGGCGGACGGGUGAGUAACACGUGGGAACGUGCCUUUAGGUUCGGAAUAACUCAGGGAAACUUGUGCUAAUACCGAAUGUGCCCUUCGGGGGAAAGAUUUAUCGCCUUUAGAGCGGCCCGCGUCUGAUUAGCUAGUUGGUGAGGUAAUGGCUCACCAAGGCUACGAUCAGUAGCUGGUGUGAGAGGAUGACCAGCCACAUUGGGACUGAGACACGGCCCAAACUCCUACGGGAGGCAGCAGUGGGGAAUCUUGCGCAAUGGGCGAAAGCAUGACGCAGCCAUGCCGCGUGGAUGAUGAAGGUCUUAGGAUUGUAAAAUCCUUUCACCGGUGAAGAUAAUGACUGUAGCCGGAGAAGAAGCCCCGGCUAACUUCGUGCCAGCCGCCGCAGUAAGAC
rnacentral:rRNA from 1 species